CUACGGGAUGCAGCAGUGAGGAAUAUUGGUCAAUGGGCGAAAGCCUGAACCAGCCAUGUCGCGUGCAGGAAGACGGCCCUAUGGGUUGUAAACUGCUUUUCUAUAGGAAGAACUAUAUCUACGUGUAGGUAUUUGCCUGUACUAUAGGAAUAAGCAUCGGCUAACUCCGUGCCAGCAGCCGCGGUAAUACGGAGGAUGCGAGCGUUAUCCGGAUUCAUUGGGUUUAAAGGGUGCGUAGGCGGCCUUUUAAGUCAGUGGUGAAAUUUUGUAGCUCAACUACAAACGUGCCAUUGAAACUGAAGGGCUUGAGUGCGGACGAGGAAGGCGGAAUGUGUUAUGUAGCGGUGAAAUGCAUAGAUAUAACACAGAACACCGAUUGCGAAGGCAGCUUUCCAGACCGUAACUGACGCUGAUGCACGAAAGCGUGGGUAGCGAACAGGAUUAGAUACCCCCGUAGUC
rnacentral:rRNA from 1 species